rnacentral:rRNA from 1 species
UACGAAGGGGGCUAGCGUUGCUCGGAAUCACUGGGCGUAAAGGGUGCGUAGGCGGGUCUUUAAGUCAGGGGUGAAAUCCUGGAGCUCAACUCCAGAACUGCCUUUGAUACUGAGGAUCUUGAGACCGGAAGAGGUUAGUGGAACUGCGAGUGUAGAGGUGAAAUUCGUAGAUAUUCGCAAGAACACCAGUGGCGAAGGCGGCUGACUGGUCCGGUUCUGACGCUGAGGCGCGAAAGCGUGGGGAGCAAACAGG